GACGAACGCUGGCGGCGUGCUUAACACAUGCAAGUCGAACGGAAAGGCCCUGCUUUUGUGGGGUGCUCGAGUGGCGAACGGGUGAGUAACACGUGAGUAACCUGCCCUUGACUUUGGGAUAACUUCAGGAAACUGGGGCUAAUACCGGAUAGGAGCUCCUGCUGCAUGGUGGGGGUUGGAAAGUUUCGGCGGUUGGGGAUGGACUCGCGGCUUAUCAGCUUGUUGGUGGGGUAGUGGCUUACCAAGGCUUUGACGGGUAGCCGGCCUGAGAGGGUGACCGGCCACAUUGGGACUGAGAUACGGCCCAGACUCCUACGGGAGGCGGCAGUGGGGAAUAUUGCACAAUGGGCGGAAGCCUGAUGCAGCAACGCCGCGUGCGGGAUGACGGCCUUCGGGUUGUAAACCGCUUUCGCCUGUGACGAAGCGUGAGUGACGGUAAUGGGAAAAGAAGCACCGGCUAACUACGUG
rnacentral:rRNA from 1 species